rnacentral:rRNA from 1 species
UUAAGCGACUAAGCGUACACGGUGGAUGCCCUGGCAGUCAGAGGCGAUGAAGGACGUGCUAAUCUGCGAUAAGCGUCGGUAAGGUGAUAUGAACCGUUAUAACCGGCGAUUUCCGAAUGGGGAAACCCAGUGUGAUUCGUCACACUAUCAUUACGUGAAUACAUAGCGUAAUGAAGCGAACCGGGGGAACUGAAACAUCUAAGUACCCCGAGGAAAAGAAAUCAACCGAGAUUCCCCCAGUAGCGGCGAGCGAACGGGGAGCAGCCCAGAGUCUGAAUCAGCUUGUGUGUUAGUGGAACGGUCUGGAAAGUCCGACGGUACAGGGUGAUAGUCCCGUACACCAAAAUGCACAGGUUGUGAACUCGAUGAGUAGGGCGGGACACGUGGUAUCCUGUCUGAAUAUGGGGGGACCAUCCUCCAAGGCUAAAUACUCCUGACUGACCGAUAGUGAACCAGUACCGUGAGGGAAAGGCGAAAAGAACCCCGGCGAGGGGAGUGAAAAAGAACCUGAAACCGUGUACGUACAAGCAGUGGGAGCAUCCUUUUGGGUGUGACUGCGUACCUUUUGUAUAAUGGGUCAGCGACUUAUAUUCUGUAGCAAGGUUAACCGUAUAGGGGAGCCGAAGGGAAACCGAGUCUUAACUGGGCGUUAAGUUGCAGGGUAUAGACCCGAAACCCGGUGAUCUAGCCAUGGGCAGGUUGAAGGUUGGGUAACACUAACUGGAGGACCGAACCGACUAAUGUUGAAAAAUUAGCGGAUGACUUGUGGCUGGGGGUGAAAGGCCAAUCAAACCGGGAGAUAGCUGGUUCUCCCCGAAAGCUAUUUAGGUAGCGCCUCGUGAAUUCAUCUUCGGGGGUAGAGCACUGUUUCGGCUAGGGGGUCAUCCCGACUUACCAACCCGAUGCAAACUGCGAAUACCGAAGAAUGUUAUCACGGGAGACACACGGCGGGUGCUAACGUCCGUCGUGAAGAGGGAAACAACCCAGACCGCCAGCUAAGGUCCCAAAGUCAUGGUUAAGUGGGAAACGAUGUGGGAAGGCACAGACAGCCAGGAUGUUGGCUUAGAAGCAGCCAUCAUUUAAAGAAAGCGUAAUAGCUCACUGGUCGAGUCGGCCUGCGCGGAAGAUGUAACGGGGCUAAACCAUGCACCGAAGCUGCGGCAGCGACACUAUGUGUUGUUGGGUAGGGGAGCGUUCUGUAAGCCGUUGAAGGUGUACUGUGAGGUAUGCUGGAGGUAUCAGAAGUGCGAAUGCUGACAUAAGUAACGAUAAUGCGGGUGAAAAACCCGCACGCCGGAAGACCAAGGGUUCCUGUCCAACGUUAAUCGGGGCAGGGUGAGUCGACCCCUAAGGCGAGGCCGAAAGGCGUAGUCGAUGGGAAACAGGUUAAUAUUCCUGUACUUGGUGUUACUGCGAAGGGGGGACGGAGAAGGCUAUGUUAGCCGGGCGACGGUUGUCCCGGUUUAAGCAUGUAGGCGGAGGUUCCAGGUAAAUCCGGUACCUUUUUAACGCUGAGGUGUGAUGACGAGGCACUACGGUGCUGAAGUAACAAAUGCCCUGCUUCCAGGAAAAGCCUCUAAGCAUCAGGUAACACGAAAUCGUACCCCAAACCGACACAGGUGGUCAGGUAGAGAAUACCAAGGCGCUUGAGAGAACUCGGGUGAAGGAACUAGGCAAAAUGGUGCCGUAACUUCGGGAGAAGGCACGCUGAUAUGUAGGUGAAGCGGUUUACCCGUGGAGCUGAAAUCAGUCGAAGAUACCAGCUGGCUGCAACUGUUUAUUAAAAACACAGCACUGUGCAAACACGAAAGUGGACGUAUACGGUGUGACGCCUGCCCGGUGCCGGAAGGUUAAUUGAUGGGGUUAUCCGUAAGGAGAAGCUCUUGAUCGAAGCCCCGGUAAACGGCGGCCGUAACUAUAACGGUCCUAAGGUAGCGAAAUUCCUUGUCGGGUAAGUUCCGACCUGCACGAAUGGCGUAAUGAUGGCCAGGCUGUCUCCACCCGAGACUCAGUGAAAUUGAACUCGCUGUGAAGAUGCAGUGUACCCGCGGCAAGACGGAAAGACCCCGUGAACCUUUACUAUAGCUUGACACUGAACACUGGUCCUUGAUGUGUAGGAUAGGUGGGAGGCUUUGAAGUGUGGACGCCAGUCUGCAUGGAGCCAUCCUUGAAAUACCACCCUUUAAUGGCUGGUGUUCUAACGUGGACCCGUAAUCCGGGUUGCGGACAGUGUCUGGUGGGUAGUUUGACUGGGGCGGUCUCCUCCUAAAGAGUAACGGAGGAGCACGAAGGUUAGCUAAUCCUGGUCGGACAUCAGGAGGUUAGUGCAAAGGCAUAAGCUAGCUUGACUGCGAGAGUGACGGCUCGAGCAGGUGCGAAAGCAGGUCUUAGUGAUCCGGUGGUUCUGAAUGGAAGGGCCAUCGCUCAACGGAUAAAAGGUACUCCGGGGAUAACAGGCUGAUACCGCCCAAGAGUUCAUAUCGACGGCGGUGUUUGGCACCUCGAUGUCGGCUCAUCACAUCCUGGGGCUGAAGUAGGUCCCAAGGGUAUGGCUGUUCGCCAUUUAAAGUGGUACGCGAGCUGGGUUUAGAACGUCGUGAGACAGUUCGGUCCCUAUCUGCCGUGGGCGCUGGAGAAUUGAGGGGGGCUGCUCCUAGUACGAGAGGACCGGAGUGGACGCAUCACUGGUGUUCGGGUUGUCAUGCCAAUGGCAUUGCCCGGUAGCUAAAUGCGGAAGAGAUAAGUGCUGAAAGCAUCUAAGCACGAAACUUGCCCCGAGAUGAGUUCUCCCUGAGACUUUAAGUCUCCUGAAGGAACGUUGAAGACGAUGACGUUGAUAGGUCGGGUGUGUAAGUGUAGCGAUACAUUGAGCUAACCGAUACUAAUGAACCGUGAGGCUUAACCUU